rnacentral:lncRNA from 1 species
UAGUCGGGUUCUUAACCCACUGAGCCACAACAGGAACAUCUCCAGAACUUUUUCAUUAUCUCAUACUGAAACUUUGUGUCCAUUUGACACUGACUCCCCAUUCCCUUCCCUCCAGCCCUGGUAACCACUGUUCUACUUUCUGUCUCUACGAAUGACUCCAGAAUUUUACAUGGAUCCUCCAAGAUACAAUUCACUUGCUCAUACCCUAGACAAAUGAACAGAACUGGUGUCAGUAUUCUGUGCUCCUGAGACACCUGAGCUCAUCUCCAAGGACUUUCUACCACUUCAUUUUGGAAACAACCUAAAUGUCCAUUGA